CAGGGAAGAGUACUGGAGUGGGUUGCCAUUGCCUUCUCCACCAUGAAGUUCUGGAAAUUUUUGUGUUUUAACAUUAAGAUAGUUGUCUUCUCCCCCAAAAUACAAGUUAGCACCAAUCUCCUUGGAUGCCCGUGGACCACAGAACAUUUCAUGCCUCUGCCAGCUCCUUUUGGCCUUGGGCAGAUAUUGAAUCAUUGAGGAUUAGAAUCAAAAAGGACGAGAGAUCAUAGCCUUCAGGAGUGACUUACAAAGUCCUGGGGGCGCCCAAGGGGCUCUCAAGUACAUGUGGUCCCUGACACCACCUCCCUACUUGCCAGAGGAAACUCCAAAUGUAUCUGUUUUAUAUAUUGUCCAUCUAAAUAAGAGUUUAUUUAACAAAAGGGCACAGCUAAAAAAUAAAAUAAAACAAAAAGACCCUUUGAAAAUAGCAGAUCUGGUCCAACCCCUGCAGUUUAGAGCUGAUGGAAUUUAGAACUAGAAGAUUGUUUUAACCAAUAUCACCCAGCCGAUUUGUGGUACAGCCAGGAGUACACCGAGGUCAGCUCCCAAGCCCAUGCAGUUUCGUUCUAGCAGGCUGCCUCUUGAGGAAAGAGGGGCUGACACCACAGAUGUUGUAGGGUCAAGAUUUACAUCUCACAAAUCAGAUGUACCAAAACAGUAGCUUAUUUGUUUUCUAUAACUGAUUUAAUCUUACUCCGAAGCUCUCAGUCCUACAGACAGCAGAAAUAAACUUGCUGAACAACCUCUUCCAGGGUGAAAAAAAGAAGCGGUGCUGAAUUCACCCAGUUCAACCAUUGAAAUUCCCGAUCAGAGUCAAAGACUUCUAAGCUUCUCCCUCCUUUGUUCUCAAGAUGGCAUCUGGAUGAAGGAGACGUUUAUGGGCCCUCAUGGAGCCGAAGCAGGGAUGUGUAACUCACGGGUUGUCUUUCUCUGUAGGCUCCUGAUAUUCUACAACUGAGUUGCAAACUAUAGAAUCCAUUCACACUGGUUUAAGCAGCAAUUAUGAAGAGUUAUUAGUAGCUCAGUGACUCUUUGGGAGGUCUGGAGGAAAAGGGGCACAAGGCUAGGCUCCUCAGAACACAGAAGUGACCUGGUGAGGAUGCUCCUGCCACCACUGCUCUUUGCUUCCACUUUCACCUGCAACAUGGAUGUACAGUGCUCAGAAUCGACUGUUUGCUUCAGCGGCUGACAUCCAAACCAGAGUUUAACGCGGGUGCUCUUGACUGGUGACCUGGACAUCAUAGAAAGGCACAGCUAGAUGAUCAAGCACAAUAUCUAAUAGCUAAAACAAGCACAUUUUUAUUCCUAACUAAAAUUUUGACUUUUAUGGUAGAGAAAAGAUGGCUUUCCCAAGUUCAAGUGCCUGGGAGGCUGACGCCACAUGCCAUCUGCUGGUGUUACGCUGCAUCGCUCCACAGUGACUCCAGAGGCCAAGAAAGAACAAAGGGAACCCUCGUCUCCUCUAGAGAGAGGGGCUUCCAUGGGUCCCCUGCUACAGGCUUUCGACAUGAACAAGUCCAGACCACAACCUUGAGAAGAAUGAGGAAGAUAAGGACUAUUCUACCUUGGCUCGUAUCUCAAAAUUAUCAUCAUUCACGUACAGUUCAUAACCACAAAGACAUUCCUACUUAUUUUCUCAGGUGUUGCAAAGCUUUGACAUGGGAUGAAAAUAUCACUCCUAGAGGUAUAAACUAGACAGAUUCAGAGUGCCCUGAUUUUCUCAACAACCCUCCUCUCAUGGAUUAUGGCAUCAUCUUAAGGAAUCGAGUCUCAGUCUCUGCACCAACCCCAAGUGUGGCAAGAUUUCAUCCCACUUGAUGAUCUUCCUUGGGCUCCAGUCCCUGUUCACUGCCAGGGCUAGGGGGAGGCAGGAUGUAAGAGCUGCCAGAAAGCAGAUAACACAACUCACACCUUUUUCCAUAGAGAAUAUCACGAAAUAGUCUUAACUAAUGGAUGCCAAUUUUACUUUUUCCCUUGUUCCUUGUAAUAAUCAAAGUUAGAUUAUUUGCACAACACAGGUCUGGCCAUCUCCAUGGUGUGCCUGGUAUGGAGGCCCCCAGAAAUGACCUUGAAUGGUGACAGAAGAUUUACUAUCAGGGUUUACUCUUGACCUUUUAUAAACCAAAACACACAUGAACAAGUUUCCCUCACAGGGAAUGCAUUUGUAUUUGAGGCAACAAUUCAGUCAAAUGAGUGGCAGGCAAAUAACACGGUUAUCCUUACAUAUUAAAAUUAUACUUAAGUGCAACCCCUGUUUGAAAGUUGUAGCACCAAAUAGUAUUUUCAUAGAGCCUAUGAUUCCAGAAGCCAGGUCCAUCAGGCUAGAAAUGAAGGACGUUUCUGAGUCUUACUCAUCCAGGGCACUUUGACAGCGCAUGUGCACUGGCUGGUAUAAAACUAAAAUAUCCAAUGGACUCUUUCCCUGAUGUUUUGCACAAUGAAUACAGUGAGCUACUGAUCAACGACACAGUUGACUUGGCACAGGCCUUGACUGUUCCCUGGAAGGACAGGCAGGUCUAGAUAACACCACCAGAAGGCUUGGGAGUUGGUGGAGAGGGCGGUGGAGUACAGGUGGUGGUACAUGGGUCGUUUCCAAUCCUCCGCAAGUCACUGAUGAAACACUGGCCAGCAUCUUUGGUCCACCCUGAAUACAUGGCCACCCUAAUGGCUAAGAAGCAGAUCCCAAAUUCUUAGGUCAGGUUUUACGUUUACAUUUCAGCCUCUAGGUACAGGGAGAAGAUAGGUGGGGUGGAGAGGUCUUGGAAUGAGUUGGAUAUCCUGAAAGCUGAGUUCCAGACCCAGGGUUGCCAACAAUUAGCUGAGACCUUUGAAAGUCAAUUUACCUUCCCAAGCUUCCAUUUUCUCAUCUUCCACUCCCUACUCUUACUUUCUUCUCAUUUCUCCCUGCCUACCCCUUUCUUCUUUACGAACUGGGUAAGGGAAUGGGGAGCAGCCGCAGUUUUGUGAGCUCUCUCCUUGAGGGAGGGAGCCCUUAGCUCAUGUUCCGUGGAGCAACUUUGAAAUACACAUGCCUGGCCCUCCCCAUCCCUGAGUUCUGGCCAGCUCAUCAUUUGUCCCCUCCUUUCUCACGGUUUUCCUUUCUGCCUCCCUUGUUUUCUUUCCUCUCCAUCUCUGUCUAUAUCAGCAACCUCCUUUUCCUAGUAUCUAACCAAUCUUUCAAUUCUGUUUCACUUCAUUGGCCUAAGAGGCUAUGCUCCCCUGGCAAUGGGUGAUUUCUUUUAAAAAAUAUUGUGUGUAUGGGUAGCUGGACUUACUGCAGAAAUUUUAUAAGGUGUAGAAAAGCACAUAAUCAUAAUGAUGACAAGGAGAAGGAAGACAACUAAGUUCAUGAGCACUUGCUCUUUGCCAGGCAAAAUUGUGUAUUCAUUCAUUCAUUUAAGACUUCAUGAACCCUACAAGAUAGGUACUAUUAUUAUCUUCAUUUUGCAAGAAAGGAAACAGUGGCACAGAGAAGUUAAGUGACAUAAAAGAGAAAGCUAAGGAACGUCCCUUGUGGUCCAGUGAUUAAGAAACUGCCCUGCAGCGCAGGGGACAAGGGUUCAAUCCUUAGUCUGGGAACUAAGAUCCCACGUGCCGUGGAGCAAUUAAGCCUGGGCACUGCAACUAUGGAGCCCACGCACCACAAGGGAAGUUCCCACAACCAAACAAAUAUGUUUUAAAAAGAGAGACAGAGAAAGCUAAAAAUUACCUGUAAGGUCAUGCUGAGAAUAACUAUGUAUAACCAACAUGGGAUCCUUAUUUCUGAAUGAACAGAAGGCCACUUGCCUCAUACAUGCAUUUAUUCUUUCAAACACCAUUUUGCCACAACUGCUGUGGGGCCAGUGGUGGAUUGAAGGAUUUUUUUCUGCUUUUGAGGUAUGGCCUUUUGUCAAGGAAUGCAGGGGGAACUUCUGGCCAGUGGAAGAAGUAGGCUGAAAUCUGCCACCCAUCCUACAUCCUUAUUCCCAGAUCCAGCCAUACCAGAGACAAAAAUGCAAACAAGAACCUCAGGUUUUGUCAAGAGCCAGCUUUGGAAGUGAGAGUAUUAAAAAUAAAACCCGCAAAGCAGCCGCUACUUCUGCUUGGAAGCAGUCAUUUCAAUGACUGACAUAUGUCCUAGAGGGGCAAGUGCCAUCUUACUUACGCACUCUCAUUAGUAGUGGCAGCAACUAUAAAACACAUACACACCAUGCACGUGUAACGACACGGGAAAGCGCUCACGAUGUAUUAGAGGAGAAAAGGAAACCACAAAACAGAACGUGUGUAUGGUGUGAUGGCAAACAUUGUUCCAAAAAAAAAAAAAGGGGGUGGGCUAUAUGCAUUGAAAAAGUACAGGAAAUUUUUUUUGGAAAACAAACAACUUUUAGUAAUCCUGCCUAAAGAAAGUUUAUAGGAGAUUUUCUUUUCUUUCCAAGAGCAUGUAUAGAAAAGAAAGUCAAUAAUAUUUUUUUAAAGCUGUACAAGUUGAUUAACAGCUGAAAGUCAACAAAUUAUAUUCAGGUGUAAUUCCGAGUUUAAAAAGAACUCUUUAAACUCUGAAUUGUAUUUUCAAAGGGAAGAAAAAUAAUAUUUACUUGCUAAGCAUUGUGUCCUACCUUUCUUGGUGCAAGCUUCAUAAGGCUUUGUAAAAUCAGCAGUCUAUUGUUUCGGGAACACUAAGUGACCAAGGUCACAUGACUUUCAUGGGGUAGAAUGUCUAACUUCAGCUUACUCCCAAACUUGCACUGUUCCCUAGGACAAUGGAGUUCCACCAUCUCAUUUUCUAACACAAGCAUAAUAACAUACAUUCAUCUGUAGCUCUUUGAACCAAUGCUGGAGAGUCUGAAUAGGAAGGGAGGCAGGAGGUACAUCUCAGAAUAUGCUGAAGGCUCCUAGGUGAUCGGGAUAUGUUCUUACUCCACCCUCUGUACUCCAAGAGUGCAGUAUUAUGGGGUGGUGUUGGGGCACUGAGUCAGCAGCUUGAUUACAGGAUGGUGAGAAGGCCCAUCACAGCAGCAGAAUACCUCUCCAGAGACAUCCUUUGGCUUAAGAUUCUUUGUGCCUUUAACUAAAAUGCAAAUGUCUCUGAGUACAAAAUCACUUUACACCGUAUCAAUCCUGAGGAUAAGUGGUUGUCCACUUCACUCCCAAGUGGACAAGAAGAUGAUUCUGAACACCCAGAGAAAGAUACACAGAAAGCAGGAAGGGUAUAGAAAAACCACUAGAAUCUCCAUGCCCUUCUUCAUGUUCCUGCCUGCCAAUGGCUGGCCUUGAUUAUAAUAUUUAGGUUUCUGUGUUUAUAGCCUGUCAAGGGAAAGCAGAAUAUCACAUUCUAUCAAGUCACUUGAAAAGAACCACUGAUUUACAACUCCAAGGCACUAACAGCGUGUUUGAUUUAAAGGAGUGUAUCUAUGUAACUGUAAUAAACACACCACACUCCAGAAAGUCUGCAGAUAGCUUUUCUCUGAGUAAAUGGCAAAGAAGAACCAGAACUUGUUUAUAUUUCUUCCCUUUCCUACGGGUUAUCAGGGCCUUUUUCAUCACCUUAAAGGAAAAACAAAUGAUCAAAAGAUGGAUGACCCCUCAUCCCUUCCAUAUCUACUUCUUGGUAUGUCAAAAAGCUUUCUAGCAAGUCACUGGCAAGCUAAUUAUUUUCCUCUAAUCAAUCAGCUAUUUUAAUGAUGUGUGACACUCCUGAUCUAUCAGUACCAUUAAGAUAACGUCUGCUGUGUUGGUCUGCAGCUAGGUUACAGAUGCUUCACCAGCCAGCAUGGACCCUCCAAAAAUCCAAACUUAUGUUCUGGGUAUAAACUCCAGGGCCUCAAGAAGGAAGAAAAUCAGACCUGGACUCAAUGUCUAGGUGGAACUGAUUUGAGGAAUUACUGAAAUGCAAGGCCGCCCCCAAAGCCGACCACAGAACUUGAAAUUUCCACUGGUUCCUCUUGAGUUUUUUCUUGGUUUUCAGAAGUCAUUGUUAAAAUCUGAAAAACAAACUUCCUUGACCACAGCUAGGUGUUACCAUCAGAAAUCUUUUGUCAGGACAACUGUCUUUAGCAGACAGCAAAGACGCAAACAGAAAGCUCUGGAAUAGAGUCUACUGUCCCAGCUCCACCGUUGAAGGGAGAUAAUAACAGACUGGGAGAACAGGAGGGUCCUUCGGAAGGGGGUGGGAGAGAGAACAUGAGAGGAAUCUGCGAAACCCUGACCUGAGUACAUGAGAACAAACUGAGUUUGGCUGCUCAGGAGGCCCCCAGCCGGCCCUCCAGCCCCUCAGGUACUAAGCAGGGGCCGCCCCUCUUUCUCAAGGACCCGAGAUCAUAGCUGUGGGCCGAGCAUAGGUCUCCUCGUGGCGGGCAGGGGAAGAAGGAGGCUGGCUGCGGCCUUCCCGACAGCCUCACCCAGGGUGGCCUCUCCUGCUUCUCACUUUCUCUGCGGCUUCCGAGGCACCUCCAGCAAUCUCAAGGAAUCAGAUGGGGCAGUCGCUGGUCUCGGUCUCCCCAGCUGACAGUGGCCCCAGCCAGAUGU